rnacentral:rRNA from 1 species
UUGGUCCUACGGGGGGCAGCAGUGGGGAAUAUUGCACAAUGGGGGAAACCCUGAUGCAGCGACGCCGCGUGAGUGAGGAAGUAUUUCGGUAUGUAAAGCUCUAUCAGCAGGGACGAAGAAAGUGACGGUACCUGAGGAAUAAGCCACGGCUAACUACGUGCCAGCAGCCGCGGUAAUACGUAGGUGGCAAGCGUUAUCCGGAUUUAUUGGGUGUAAAGGGCGUGUAGGCGGGAGCGCAAGUCAGAUGUUAAAACUCAGGGCUCAACCCUGAGCCUGCAUUUGAAACUGUGUUUCUUGAGUGCUGG